CAGCAGCGGUGAGCCGAUGCAACGGACGUAUCGAUGGACGCGCAGUGUUUUACAGUGUGUAAUACCUACGUCGCGCUUAUCUGUCGGGACGACAAAGCGCACUUACAGAGACCACCUAUGCUUUACAAUCUAGGACCCUCUCGUUAAUCCAUCGACGCCCGAAGGCAAUCAGAUCGUGCCCUAAGUUCUUACGGUACUGAGGUCAAUGCACGGAUGUCGUCGAGCCGUAUCGAAGCACAGCUGAAGGAAACGCGUCGAGACAAUGGAUCCGUCCCUGGAUGCAUCGCAGAUAAAGUUCGUCGACAGUGUUUAUAGUCAUGCGCGAAAUGCUGGUCGACCGGCGGAAAAGACGACAACGUCCGGUGGCGAGACAUGCGGAUAGAACGGAACGAGGAGGAUAACGAUAACCGGCAUUACCAACCAGCCCGGCACCACCACCA